GGAUCGGCCGGCGUCUGAUUAGCUAGUUGGUGAGGUAAUGGCUCACCAAGGCGACGAUCAGUAGCUGGUCUGAGAGGAUGAUCAGCCACAUUGGGACUGAGACACGGCCGAAACUCCUACGGGAGGCAGCAGUGGGGAAUAUUGGACAAUGGGCGCAAGGCUGAUCCAGCCAUGCCGCCUGAGUGAUGAAGGCCUUAGGGUUGUAAAGCUCUUUCGUCCGGGACGAUAAUGACGGUACCGGAAGAAGAAGCCCCGGCUAACUUCGUGCCUG
rnacentral:rRNA from 1 species